ACGCUGGCGGCAGGCCUAACACAUGCAAGUCGAGCGGUAGAGGGAAGCUUGCUUCUCUUGAGAGCGGCGGACGGGUGAGUAAUGCCUAGGAAUCUGCCUGGUAGUGGGGGAUAACGUCCGGAAACGGACGCUAAUACCGCAUGCGUCCUACGGGAGAAAGCAGGGGACCUUCGGGCCUUGCGCUAUCAGAUGAGCCUAGGUCGGAUUAGCUAGUUGGUGGGGUAAUGGCUCACCAAGGCGACGAUCCGUAACUGGUCUGAGAGGAUGAUCAGUCACACUGGAACUGAGACACGGUCCGGACUCCUACGGGAGGCAGCAGUGGGGAAUAUUGGACAAUGGGCGAAAGCCUGAUCCAGCCAUGCCGCGUGUGUGAAGAAGGUCUUCGGAUUGUAAAGCACUUUAAGUUGGGAGGAAGGGCAGCAAAUUAAUACUUUGCUGUUUUGACGUUACCGACAGAAUAAGCACCGGCUAACUCUUUGCCAGCAGCCGCGGUAAUACAGAGGGUGCAAGCGUUAAUCGGAAUUACUGGGCGUAAAGCGCGCGUAGGUGGUUCGUUAAGUUGGAUGUGAAAUCCCCGGGCUCAACCUGGGAACUGCAUUCAAAACUGACGAGCUAGAGUAUGGUAGAGGGUGGUGGAAUUUCCUGUGUAGCGGUGAAAUGCGUAGAUAUAGGAAGGAACACCAGUGGCGAAGGCGACCACCUGGACUGAUACUGACACUGAGGUGCGAAAGCGUGGGGAGCAAAC
rnacentral:rRNA from 1 species